CCUACGGGAGGCAGCAGUGAGGAAUAUUGGUCAAUGGACGAGAGUCUGAACCAGCCAAGUAGCGUGAAGGAUGACUGCCCUAUGGGUUGUAAACUUCUUUUAUAUGGGAAUAAAACGUUCCACGUGUGGGAUUUUGUAUGUACCAUAUGAAUAAGGAUCGGCUAACUCCGUGCCAGCAGCCGCGGUAAUACGGAGGAGCCGAGCGUUACCCGGAUUUAUUGGGUUUAAAGGGAGCGUCGGUGGAUUGUUAAGUCAGUGGUGAAAGUUUGCGGCUCAACCGUAAAAUUGCAGUUGAAACUGGCAGGCUUGAGUACAGUAGAGGUGGGCAGAAUUCGUGGUGUAGCGGUGAAAUGCUUAGAUAUCACGAAGAACUCCGAUUGCGAAGGCAGUUCACUGGACUGCAACUGACACUGAGGCUCGAAAGUGUGGGUAUCAAACAGGAUUAGAUACCCCUGUAGUC
rnacentral:rRNA from 1 species